UAAGGAAGGCAGCAGUGGGGAAUAUUGCACAAUGGGCGAAAGCCUGAUGCAGCUAUGCCGCGUGUAUGAAGAAGGCCUUAGGGUUGUAAAGUACUUUCAUCGGGGAGGAAAAAACAAAACUAAUAAUUUUAUUUCUUGACGUUACCCGAAAAAGAAGCACCGGCUAACUCCGUGCCAGCAGCCGCGGUAAUACGGAGGGUGCUAGCGUUAAUCAGAAUUACUGGGCGUAAAGAGCACGUAGGUGGUUUUUUUAAGUCAGAUGUGAAAUCCCUGGGCUUAACCUAGGAACUGCAUUUUGAAACUGAAAUACUAGAGUAUCGUAGAGGGAGGUAGAAUUCUAGGUGUAGCGGUGAAAUGCGUAGAUAUCUGGAGGAAUACCUGUGGCGAAAGCGGCCUCCUAAACGAAUACUGACACUGAGGUGCGAAAGCGUUGGGGAGCAAACAGGGAUUAGAUACC
rnacentral:rRNA from 1 species